CCUUACACAUGCAAGUCGAACGGUAGAGUAGCAAUACUCGAGAGUGGCGAACGGGUGAGUAACAUAUCGGAACGUGCCCAGUCGUGGGGGAUAACGUAGAGAAAUUUACGCUAAUACCGCAUACGAUCUAUGGAUGAAAGCGGAGGAUUCGCAAGAACCUCGCGCGAUUGGAGCGGCUGAUAUCAGAUUAGGUUGUUGGUGAGGUAAAAGCUCACCAAGCCGACGAUCUGUAGCUGGUUUGAGAGAACGACCAGCCACACUGGGACUGAGACACGGCCCAGACUCCUACGGGAGGCAGCAGUGGGGAAUUUUGGACAAUGGGCGAAAGCCUGAUCCAGCAAUGCCGCGUGUGGGAAGAAGGCCUUCGGGUUGUAAACCACUUUUGUACGGAACGAAACGGUUCGCUUUAAUACAGUGGGCUAAUGACGGUACCGUAAGAAUAAGCACCGGCUAACUACGUGCCAGCAGCCGCGGUAAUACGUAGGGUGCGAGCGUUAAUCGGAAUUACUGGGCGUAAAGCGUGCGCAGGCGGUUAUAUAAGACAGUUGUGAAAUCCCCGGGCUCAACCUGGGAAUUGCAUCUGUGACUGUAUAGCUAGAGUACGGUAGAGGGGGAUGGAAUUCCGCGUGUAGCAGUGAAAUGCGUAGAUAUGCGGAGGAACACCGAUGGCGAAGGCAAUCCCCUGGACCUGUACU
rnacentral:rRNA from 1 species